rnacentral:rRNA from 1 species
GACGAACGCUGGCGGCGUGCUUAACACAUGCAAGUCGAACGCUGAACCCGCUUCGGUGGGGGAUGAGUGGCGAACGGGUGAGUAACACGUGGGCAACCUGCCCCCGGCUCUGGGAUAACUCCAAGAAAUUGGGGCUAAUACCGGAUGUGACCGCUUGCCGCAUGGUCUGGUGGUGGAAAGGGUUUCCGGCUGGGGAUGGGCCCGCGGCCUAUCAGCUUGUUGUUGGGGUAGUGGCCUACCAAGGCGACGACGGGUAGCCGGCCUGAGAGGGUGACCGGCCACACUGGGACUGAGACACGGCCCAGACUCCUACGGGAGGCAGCAGUGGGGAAUAUUGCGCAAUGGGCGGAAGCCUGACGCAGCGACGCCGCGUGGGGGAUGACGGCCUUCGGGUUGUAAACCUCUUUCAGCAGGGACGAAGCGCAAGUGACGGUACCUGCAGAAGAAGCACCGGCCAACUACGUG